UAUAGCCCUGCGAAGUUUGCCGUUUUUCAGUCAUUUUUGGUAAUCAGUUUGAUCAUCAAUGACUGAAAAACGGCAAACUUCGCCAGGCUAUAUUAUCC
rnacentral:miRNA from 1 species